GACAGAUUGAUAGCUCUUUCUUGAUUCUAUGGGUGGUGGUGCAUGGCCGUUCUUAGUUGGUGGAGUGAUUUGUCUGGUUAAUUCCGAUAACGAACGAGACCUUAACCUGCUAAAUAACCGGUUACAUAUAAUGUAUCUGUGUUUCUUAGAGGGACUAUGCGUUUAUAAGCGCAUGGAAGUUUGAGGCAAUAACAGGUCUGUGAUGCCCUUAUAUGUCCUGGGCUGCACGCGUGCUACACUGAUGCAUACAACAAGUGCCUAGUCUGCUAAGAUAUGGCAAUCUACAAUAUGCAUCGUGAUGGGGAUAGAUCUUUGCAAUUAUAGAUCUUGAACGAGGAAUUCCUAGUAAAUGCAAGUCAUCAUCUUGCGUUGAUUAUGUCCCUGCCCUUUGUACACACCGCCCGUCGCUCCUACCGAUACCGGGUGAUCCGGUGAACCUUUUAGACCGUUUAUCGGAAAAAUAAGUAAACCUUAUCACCUAGAGAAGAAAGUCUAGCAUC
rnacentral:rRNA from 1 species